rnacentral:lncRNA from 1 species
GGAAUCUAGAAACCCCAAACUUGUAGCCUAGUAAGAUCUGAUGAACUCCAAGUUUUAGAAUUAGCUGGUAAGCUGGGGGUAGACCCCAAAACUUGUCCUAGUUCCCUGUUCCCUUCAGAAUCCACCCUGAAGGGAAUCUCUGAUUAGUAGUUUCAGACUAAAUAAUAGACUUUAUGUCAAUCCCACUUAGGUGGGGCUAAGCAAAUACUAAAUAGUCUUUUUGUUUUAGGUAGUCUUCCCCAUUGUAUUAGAGACCCUUUCCCAAGAAGACCCACACCUGAGCUAGGACUACCCUUUUAAUAUCCAUUGUAAGCAGCCCCUUCCCUUACACCCUAGCCUCUGGCUAGGAUUCUUUUCCCAAACUUGAUUGUAUUCUGUAAGUAUAGUUUGAAUACUCCCAUUUCCUUGUAACCAUAGUAAUGUCAGUCAAUCAUAUUCCCCUGCCCCUCAGUUUCCAAAAAGGCAUAUAAGUCCCCCAAAUUCUUUUGUUCCUUGGAGUUGUCAGUCUAGUGUGGUUAGUUCUAACAGGGGUCAGUGUCUAGAACAACCAGAGUUUUAAUCUUCAGAAUUCUGCUUGGGUGUUAGCAGGCAUUUCUCCACGGAGGCCUAAUUUUGCAUGGAACUCCUUUCCCUAAUUAAAGAGUGGCUUUUUCUGACUAUUUAAUAGUUCUGUGUUUUUUCCAAGUUAACAUAUAGUACCCCAGAUGGGACUCCGAAAUCCCAACUGCCUGAGCCGCCCUGCUAACAAGGAGAUCAGGACGCAAGGCACCCACACAACCCAUUUGGAGUUGAGUCAGGAUUCCAGCUAGCAGAGUAGCCAGAUGUUUUCCUUUCAGGUACCCAACCAAAAGGCAGAAGGAGAGAAGGUGUUAUUUUUGCAAAAAGCCUGGACACCUGAAGAGAGAUUGCAGGUAGCUGCUAAGCAAGAUGAAAUGGUGCCAGGGUGAAAAUUCCCCUCAGCAUGGAGGAUCACAAAGGAAUACCAGAGGUGUAUGUAAAGAAUUUCUAGCAUUUUGGAGCAACUCAGCCUGCCUGGGAAGGUCCAUUUCAAGUACUGUUUACCACUGCAACAGCUAUAAAAUUUGAAGAAAAGGAUUCUUGGAUUCAAUGCUCACAUGUAAAGAGAGUACCUUCUAUUGAAACUGAUUGACUGUAUCUUGUCACAGGCAUUGGAGAUAAAAGGCCAUAGACAAGUGGACACUGUUUCUGGGAAUACACUGAAUUACUGAAUUUUUUUAUUUUCAAUAGAAUAUUUGAAUUUUUUUCUUCCCCUUUCUUAUUUCUUGGACUUAAAGUACAUAUAAUCAAUAUUAAUCUUUUUCUGAUUUUGCAGUAAUAUAAAAUUUAAAAAUAUAUUUAUUCUAAUAUUAAUGCAUACCCAAAAGCUUUAAACUAUUGAAACCUGCCAUUUAUUGAUAAAUGUUAUGGGACUGUGAUGAAUGAUUGUGUCUGAUUCCAGGAGAAGGGAUCAUAAAGAGCCACUGCAGUGCCAGGAAGAGGACAAAGAGCAAUCUGCACAGUGCCUAUGAGCACAGUCACACAUUUGGACAAGUACCAAAGUUUGGCUACCAUCCUGGCUCCCCUAUCCCUGAGUGUGGAGGUUAAAUCAGAUAGGGAAACACAUUUUACUUUUACACAAAAAUCUAGUCCUUUUUUCCCUCUUAAAGUAUGACAACUUCCUGUAGUCCUGGCUGCCAAUGGGUAAGUGUAAUAUCACUGCAUUUGUCUUACAGACUUGUGGGACAGAAAUUACUUUAAUUGAACCCUGAUUUAAGAAGCUGUUAUGGAUUUAUUCUUGUUUACUCAGAAAUUUUCCCUACAUAAAUUUUGAUUUUUUUUAACCAAAAUUUAGUUUUUCUCUUUUAUUUGGGUUUUUUUAUGUUUUCGGUUUUUCUUUUGAUAAUUAACUCAUACACCCCAUAACUCAACCAUGCAUCCUAAGUUUAUCUGGGUGUUGGUCAACACCCUUCACAGGGGGGUAUUGUAUAUUUUUCAUAAAAUCCACAAUUUAAAAUUUUGUUUCAGAAAAAUUUCAGGGAAAGAAGUAUGCUAACUCUUUGAAUCCAGAAAAUGAAGUGUUUGGAGA